CAGUGCUAAUACCGGAUAAGAAAGCGGAUCGCAUGAUCAGCUUUUAAAAGGCGGCGUAAGCUGUCGCUAUGGGAUGGCCCCGCGGUGCAUUAGCUAGUUGGUAAGGUAAAGGCUUACCAAGGCGAUGAUGCAUAGCCGAGUUGAGAGACUGAUCGGCCACAUUGGGACUGAGACACGGCCCAAACUCCUACGGGAGCAGCAGGC
rnacentral:rRNA from 1 species